rnacentral:rRNA from 1 species
UACGGGGGGGGUAAGCGUUGUUCGGAAUUACUGGGCGUAAAGGGCGCGUAGGCGGCCUUCUAAGUCGAACGUGAAAUCCCUGGGCUCAACCCAGGAACUGCGUCCGAUACUGGAAGGCUUGAAUCCGGGAGAGGGAUGCGGAAUUCCAGGUGUAGCGGUGAAAUGCGUAGAUAUUGGGAGGAACACCAGUGGCGAAGGCGGCUCACUGGACCGGAACUGACGCUGAGGCGCGAAAGCGUGGGGAGCAAACAGG